AACGAACGCUGGCGGCAGGCCUAACACAUGCAAGUCGAGCGCGCCUUCGGGUGAGCGGCGGACGGGUGAGUAACGCGUGGGAAUAUGCCCUUCUCUACGGAAUAGUCCUGGGAAACUGGGGGUAAUACCGUAUACGCCCUUUGGGGGAAAGAUUUAUCGGGGAAGGAUUAGCCCGCGUUGGAUUAGGUAGUUGGUGGGGUAAUGGCCUACCAAGCCGACGAUCCAUAGCUGGUUUGAGAGGAUGAUCAGCCACACUGGGACUGAGACACGGCCCAGACUCCUACGGGAGGCAGCAGUGGGGAAUCUUAGACAAGGGGGGCAACCCUGAUCUAGCCAUGCCGCGUGAGUGAUGAAGGCCUUAGGGUUGUAAAGCUCUUUCAGCUGGGAAGAUAAUGACGGUACCAGCAGAAGAAGCCCCGGCUAACUCCGUG
rnacentral:rRNA from 1 species